GACGUAGGGCGCGAGCGUUUGUCCGGAUUUAUUGGGCGUAAAGAGCUCGUAGGCGGUCUGUCGCGUCGGCUGUGAAAACCCGGAGCUCAACUCCGGGCCUGCAGUCGAUACGGGCAGACUGGAGUUCGGCAGGGGAGACUGGAAUUCCUGGUGUAGCGGUGAAAUGCGUAGAUAUUGGAAAGACCACCAAUGGCGAAGGCACUCUACUGGGCCAUUACUGACACUGAGAGACGAAAAGCUAGGGGGAGCAAAAUGGG
rnacentral:rRNA from 1 species